UACGUAGGGUGCAAGCGUUGUCCGGAAUUAUUGGGCGUAAAGAGCUUGUAGGCGGUUUGUCGCGUCUGCUGUGAAAUUUCGGGGCUCAACCCCGAACUUGCAGUGGGUACGGGCAGACUAGAGUGUGGUAGGGGAGACUGGAAUUCCUGGUGUAGCGGUGAAAUGCGUAGAUAUUGGGAGGAACACCAGUGGCGAAGGCGGCUCACUGGACCGGUUCUGACGCUGAUGCGCGAAAGCGUGGGGAGCAAACGGG
rnacentral:rRNA from 1 species